rnacentral:rRNA from 1 species
UUUAUUGGAGAGUUUGAUCCUGGCUCAGGAUGAACGCUGGCGGCGUGCCUAAUACAUGCAAGUCGAGCGAAUGGAUUGAGAGCUUGCUCUCAAGAAGUUAGCGGCGGACGGGUGAGUAACACGUGGGUAACCUGCCCAUAAGACUGGGAUAACUCCGGGAAACCGGGGCUAAUACCGGAUAACAUUUUGAACUGCAUGGUUCGAAAUUGAAAGGCGGCUUCGGCUGUCACUUAUGGAUGGACCCGCGUCGCAUUAGCUAGUUGGUGAGGUAACGGCUCACCAAGGCAACGAUGCGUAGCCGACCUGAGAGGGUGAUCGGCCACACUGGGACUGAGACACGGCCCAGACUCCUACGGGAGGCAGCAGUAGGGAAUCUUCCGC